GGGAGGCCAAGGCAGGCAGAUUACGAGGUCAAGAGAUCGAGACCAUCCUGGCCAACAUGGUGAAACCCCGUCUCUACUAAAAAUACAAAAAUUAGCUGGGCGUGAUGGAGGCUGAGGCAGGAGAAUCACUUGAACCCGGGAGGCAGAGGUUGUGGUGAGCCGAGAUCGCACCAUUGCACUCCAGCCUGGGCAACAAGAGUGAAACUCCAUCUCAAAAAAAAAAAAAAAAGAAAGAAAGAAAGAAA
rnacentral:lncRNA from 1 species